UACGGGGGGGGCAAGCGUUGUUCGGAAUUACUGGGCGUAAAGGGCUCGUAGGCGGCCAACUAAGUCAGACGUGAAAUCCCUCGGCUUAACCGGGGAACUGCAUCUGAUACUGGAUGGCUUGAGUUCGGGAGAGGGAUGCGGAAUUCCAGGUGUAGCGGUGAAAUGCGUAGAUAUCUGGAGGAACACCGGUGGCGAAGGCGGCAUCCUGGACCGACACUGACGCUGAGGAGCGAAAGCCAGGGGAGCAAACGGGG
rnacentral:rRNA from 1 species